CAGCAGCCGCGGGAAUACGUAGGGGGCAAGCGUUGUCCGGAAUUAUUGGGCGUAAAGCGCGCGCAGGCAGUUCUUUAAGUCUGGUGUAUAAGUGCGGGGCUCAACCCCGUGAGGCACUGGAAACUGGGGAACUUGAGUGCAGAAGAGGAGAGCGGAAUUCCACGUGUAGCGGUGAAAUGCGUAGAGAUGUGGAGGAACACCAGUGGCGAAGGCGGCUCUCUGGACUGUAACUGACGCUGAGGCGCGAAAGCGUGGGGAGCAAACAGGAUUAGAUACCCCUGUAGUCCCUGUCUCUUAUACA
rnacentral:rRNA from 1 species